CGUCGUCGUCCAUGCGGUGGGGAGAGGGUCCUAAUACUACGCCGACACUUCCACGACAUGACUCGUCUCUACCAAUACAUGGGCAGACAUCACAGCCAUAUCUGCCCACGCGAGGGAUUAGGAUGCCCGAGGAGAAUCGUUGGGCUGAGACAAGCGAGGGAGCACAAAGCUACAACAGCGGUCAGGAAAUUAAUGAUCCAUCAUGGGGAGAUGAACAUACCCAGCGUGGCGUACAGAAAGAAAUACUCACAGAAACCCAUGAUACUCAAUGCACGCUCCCAGGAAUGAUAAAUGAUU